UUUCGCAAUGCCCGAAAGGGUGACGAAGCGACGCCGCGUGAGUGAGGAAGGCCUUCGGGUUGUAAAGCUCUGUCAGGAGUUAAGAAAUAUAAGUGUGUUAAUACCACAUUUAUUUGACGAAGGCUCCAAAGGAAGCCACGGCUAACUCUGUGUCAGCAGCCGCGGUAAUACAGAGGUGGCAAGCGUUGUUCGGAAUUAUUGGGCGUAAAGAGCACGUAGGUGGGUUUGUAAGUCAGAUGUGAAAGCCUUCUGUUCAACGGAAGAAUUGCAUCUGAAACUGCGAGUCUUGAGUGUAGGAGGGGAGAAUGGAACUUCUGGUGGAGCGGUGAAAUGCGUAGAUAUCAGAAGGAACGCCGGCGGCGAAAGCGAUUCUCUGGCCUAUUACUGACACUCGGUGUGCGAAAGCUAGGGGAGCAAACGGGAUUAGAUACCCCGGUAGUCCUAGCUGUAAACGAUGGGCACUAAGUAGAGGGGUUUUA
rnacentral:rRNA from 1 species